GGUUGAGUGGUGUAAUGGUAACACGCUGAGAUUACAUACUGUUUCUUGGAAGGGGGCGGUUCCUUGGAGGCUUCCACGGAGCCAACGCUGUACGAGUAAUUGUAGGAUUCUCAGAACUGGAGGUUCAAAUCCUCCUUCGACCA